rnacentral:rRNA from 1 species
CCUACGGGAGGCAGCAGUAGGGAAUCUUGUGCAAUGGGCGAAAGCCUGACACAGCAACUCCGCGUGCGGGAAGAAGGCCUUAGGGUUGUAAACCGCUUUUGGCAGGAACGAAAAUGACGGUACCUGCAGAAUAAGGUGCGGCCAACUACGUGCCAGCAGCCGCGGUGACACGUAGGCACCAAGCGUUGUCCGGAUUUAUUGGGCGUAAAGAGCUCGUAGGCGGUUCAGUUAGUCGGGUGUGAAAACUCUGGGCUUAACCCGGAGACGCCACUCGAUACUGCUGGGCUAGAAUUCGGUAGGGGAGUGGGGAAUUCCUGGUGUAGCGGUGAAAUGCGCAGAUAUCAGGAGGAACACCGGUGGCGAAGGCGCCACUCUGGGCCGACAUUGACGCUGAGGAGCGAAAGCGUGGGUAGCAAACAGGAUUAGAUACCCUGGUAGUCCACGCCGUAAACGGUGGGCACUAGGUGUGGGUUCCAACCAACGGAAUCCGUGCCGUCGCAAACGCAUUAAGUGCCCGCCUGGGGAGUACGGCCGCAAGGUUAAACUCAAAUGAAUUGACGG